ensembl:snRNA U6 U6 spliceosomal RNA
GUUGGCUUUGGCAGCACUUUCUAAAAUUAGAAUGAUGCAGACAAGAUUAACACAGCUCCUGCAUAUAGAUUACACAAAAUUUUGUGAAGCAUUUCAUAUUUUU